rnacentral:rRNA from 1 species
UGGGGGAUAUUGCACAAUGGAGGAAACUCUGAUGCAGCGACGCCGCGUGAGUGAAGAAGUAUUUCGGUAUGUAAAGCUCUAUCAGCAGGGAAGAAACUGACAGUACCUGAGUAAGAAGCCCCGGCUAACUACGUGCCAGCAGCCGCGGUAAUACGUAGGGGGCAAGCGUUAUCCGGAUUUACUGGGUGUAAAGGGAGCGUAGACGGAAUGGCAAGUCUGGAGUGAAAACCCGCGGCUCAACUGCGGAAUUGCUUUGGAAACUGUUAAUCUGGAGUGUUGGAGAGGUAAGUGGAAUUCCUGGUGUAGCGGUGAAAUGCGUAGAUAUCAGGAAGAACACCGGAGGCGAAGGCGGCUUACUGGACAAUCACUGACGUUGAGGCUCGAAAGCGUGGGAAGCAAACAGG